GUGUAGUUUGAAAGUAGGUGA
rnacentral:piRNA from 1 species